rnacentral:lncRNA from 1 species
AAUAAAUGAAUAAUUUUGUAGCUGCAAGCUUUCUUUGAAAUUAAAAUGCAUUAUGGGUAAUUUCUGAUGGUGUAGACAGAAUGAGCAAGGUGUAUGGUGCAAAAUUGUAACGUGUAUGGUGAAAAAUUGUAACGUGUAUGGUGUAAUGGCACAGGGUGUAUGGUGUUAUUGCGUAUGGAGUAAUGCGUAUAUUGAAUGGUGUAAUGGUGUAUGGUGUAAGUAGGAAGUUUACACCAUCCAAGGACUGUGCCAUUCUAUACUAGUUUUGAUUUGUGGAAGAAUAUUUAAAAA